AGAGUUUGAUCCUGGCUCAGGACGAACGCUGGCGGCGUGCUUAACACAUGCAAGUCGAGCGAUGAAGUUCCUUCGGGAAUGGAUUAGCGGCGGACGGGUGAGUAACACGUGGGUAACCUGCCUCAUAGAGGGGAAUAGCCUUUCGAAAGGAAGAUUAAUACCGCAUAAGAUUGUAGUAUCGCAUGAUACAGCAAUUAAAGGAGUAAUCCGCUAUGAGGUGGACCCGCGUCGCAUUAGCUAGUUGGUGAGGUAACGGCUCACCAAGGCGACGAUGCGUAGCCGACCUGAGAGGGUGAUCGGCCACAUUGGGACUGAGACACGGCCCAGACUCCUACGGGAGGCAGCAGUGGGGAAUAUUGCACAAUGGGGGAAACCCUGAUGCAGCAACGCCGCGUGAGUGAUGACGGUCUUCGGAUUGUAAAACUCUGUCUUCAGGGACGAUAAUGACGGUACCUGAGGAGGAAGCCACGG
rnacentral:rRNA from 1 species